AACGAACGCUGGCGGCAGGCUUAACACAUGCAAGUCGAACGCCCCGCAAGGGGAGUGGCAGACGGGUGAGUAACGCGUGGGAAUCUACCCAGAUCUUCGGAACAACUGAGGGAAACUUCAGCUAAUACCGGAUACGCCCUACGGGGGAAAGAUUUAUCGGAAUUAGAUGAGCCCGCGUAAGAUUAGCUAGUUGGUGGGGUAAUGGCCUACCAAGGCGACGAUCUUUAGCUGGUCUGAGAGGAUGAUCAGCCACACUGGGACUGAGACACGGCCCAGACUCCUACGGGAGGCAGCAGUGGGGAAUAUUGGACAAUGGGCGCAAGCCUGAUCCAGCCAUGCCGCGUGAGUGAUGAAGGCCUUAGGGUUGUAAAGCUCUUUCAGUGGGGACGAUAAUGACGGUACCCACAGAAGAAGCCCCGGCUAACUUCGUGCCAGCCGCCGCCGUAAAAC
rnacentral:rRNA from 1 species